GACGAACGCUGGCGGCGUGCUUAACACAUGCAAGUCGAACGGAAAGGCCCCUUUGGGGGUACUCGAGUGGCGAACGGGUGUGUAACACGUGCGUAACCUGCCCUUGACUUCGGGAUAACUUCAGGAAACUGGGGCUAAUACCGGAUAGGAAUCCUUGCUGCAGGGUGGGGGUUGGAAAGCUUCGGCGGUUUUGGAUGGACUCGCGGCUUAUCACCUUGUUGGUGGGGUAGUGGCUUACCAAGGCUUUGACGGGUACCCGGCCUGGGGGGGCGACCGGCCAAAUUGGGGCCGGGGUACGGGCCAGACUCCUACGGGGGGCAGCAGGGGGGAAUAUUGCACAAUGGGCGGGAGCCUGAUGCAGCAGCGCCGCGUGCGGGAUGACGGGCUUCGGGUUGUAAACCGCUUUCAGCAGGGGCGGAGCUUGUGGUGACGGUACCUGCAGAAGAAGCACCGGCUAACUACGUG
rnacentral:rRNA from 1 species